AGUGAACGCUGGCGGUAGGCCUAACACAUGCAAGUCGAACGGCAGCACAGAGGAGCUUGCUCCUUGGGUGGCGAGUGGCGGACGGAUGAGGAAUACAUCGGAAUCUACUCUGUCGUGGGGGAUAACGUAGGGAACCUUACGCUAAUACCGCAUACGACCUACGGGUGAAAGCAGGGGACCUUCGGGCCUUGCGCGAUUGAAUGAGCCGAUGUCGGAUUAGCUAGUUGGCGGGGUAAAGGCCCACCAAGGCGACGAUCCGUAGCUGGUCUGAGAGGAUGAUCAGCCACACUGGAACUGAGACACGGUCCAGACUCCUACGGGAGGCAGCAGUGGGGAAUAUUGGACAAUGGGCGCAAGCCUGAUCCAGCCAUACCGCGUGGGUGAAGAAGGCCUUCGGGUUGUAAAGCCCUUUUGUUGGGAAAGAAAUCCAGCUGGCUAAUACCCGGUUGGGAUGACGGUACCCAAAGAAUAAGCACCGGCUAACUUCGUGCCAGCCGCCGCAGUAA
rnacentral:rRNA from 1 species